GGGGGAUAAAUUAAUAAAGUAUAAAUAAUAAAAAAAUUUUUAAUAUUAAAAUUAUUUUAAUGGGGGUUAAAGUAUAUUUAAUAGAAAAAAUAAUAAAAAUUUAUAGUAAAUUAGUAUUGUAAAAGAAAUUUGAAAUAUAUUGAAAAUAAAUUUAUUUAAAAGUAAAUUUAAUUUAUUGUAUCUUGUGUAUCAGAGUUUAUUAAUAAUAAUUUUUUUUUAAAAAUUUUCUCGAAUUUAGAAGAGAUAAUUAAUUAUUAGAGUUAAUGUUGCAUAAUUUUUUUUAAUAAUUAAUUUGAAAUGAGAUGUUAAUCGUUUUUAAAUAUAUCUAGUUUUUUUAGAAAAAAAUUUAAUUUUAAAUUUUAAAAAAAAUAUAAUUUUAAUUAAUUAAAAUUAUAUUUUUAAAAUUAAAUAUUUUAGGGGAUAAGCUUUAAGAUAAAUUUUUAUAAUAAAUUUUAAUAAUAAUUAAAAUUUUUAAAAUUUAUAUUGUUUAAAAAUUAUAAUUUUUUAUAAAUAAUUUUAAUUUAAUUAAAAUUUCAAAAUUUAUUUAAUUUUUUAUAAAAAAAUAUAUUAUAAUUAUUAAAAUUUAGAUAUAAUGAUAAAAUUAGUAUAUAAUUUAAAAUAAAAAUAAUUUAUUUUUUUUUGAUAAAUUGAAAAAAGGAAUUCGGCAAAAAUUUAUAUUCACUUGUUUAUCAAAAACAUGUCUUUUUGGUUAAUAAUUUAAAGUUUAAUUUGCCCCCUGAUGAUAUAUUAAAGGGCUGCAGUAUUUUGACUGUACAAAGGUAGCAUAAUCAUUAGUCUUUUAAUUGGUGACUUGUAUGAAAGAUUUGAUGAGAUAUAUACUGUCUCUUUUUAAUUUAUAAAAUUUAAUUUUUUAGUAAAAAAGCUAAAAUAUAUUUAAAAGACGAGAAGACCCUAUAGAGUUUUAUAUUUAAUUAAAAUAAAAUUUUUUGUAAGAUUUAAAAUUUUAUUUUAAUUAAAAUAUUUUGUUGGGGUGACAAAAAAAUUAAAAAAACUUUUUUUAUAAAUUUACAUUAAUAAAUGAAUAAAUGAUCCGUAAUUUACGAUUAAAAGAAAAAAUUACCUUAGGGAUAACAGCGUAAUUUUUUUUUUUAGUUCAAAUAAGAAGAAAAGUUUGCGACCUCGAUGUUGGAUUAAGAUAAAAUUUAAAUGCAAAAGUUUAAAAUUUUUGAUCUGUUCGAUCAUUAAAAUCUUACAUGAUCUGAGUUCAAACCGGUGUAAGCCAGGUUGGUUUCUAUCUUUAGAAUAAUAAAAUAUUUUAGUACGAAAGGAUCAAAUAUUUAAAAUAGUUUUAUUUAAAAGAAUUUUAAUAAUAGUAUAUUUUUAAAUAUG
rnacentral:rRNA from 1 species